AUGGGUGAAUUGGCAAAGGCUGUUGUGGAAAGGAAGCAAAUUCCUGAUAUCAUAGUAAACAAUGCUGGUACAAUAAACAAGAAUAACAAAACGUGGAAUGUUCCAGCAGAAGAAUUUGAUACGGUGGUUGAUACAAAUAUUAAAGGAACAGCAAAUGUACUUCGCCAUUUUGUACCACUUAUGAUACAGAAGAAACAUGGGAUGAUAAUCAAUUUAUCCUCUGGUUGGGGAAGGUCUGCUGCUGCAGAGGUUGCACCAUAUUGUGCUUCAAAGUGGGCUAUUGAAGGUUUAACACGCUCAUUAGCAAAGGAGUUGCCUCCUGGAUUGGCAGCAAUUGCUCUUAGCCCUGGUGUUGUGAAUACCGACAUGCUUACUUCAUGCUUUGGAAGUUCAGCUGCGUUAUACCAAUCUACUGAGCAAUGGGCACCCAAGGCAGCCACAAUGAUUCUAAGCCUUUCACUGGAAGAUAAUGGUGCCUCACUAACUGUAUGA
rnacentral:rRNA from 1 species